UCUAACAAGUCAUUCCACAAACAUUUCUUCUUGCUUAACUCACAAGACGAAUAAAUAUUAACAAUGUAGUAAAUAUUACAGGAUUUACAUUAAAGAGGAGAAAUAAUGGAACAGGCAGAGGGAAUAUUUCAUCAUCAUUGAAGGAUGCCUUUCCUUUACUGUAACUCAAACCAUCGGUGCUUGGUGCUUCUUGACGCUGCGCGACUACCUCUACCGCAAAUCAUCUCCUUUCCCUUUUGAAUCGAUCUACUAUUGGUAAUAAUGAAUAUAAAGAGAAAGGAAGAGAUAUGUUAGAGACAUGGACAUGAGUUUUCUUAUUUUAAGUUACUAAAAGUGUUUGGCUCAUGCUCAUGGAAGAUUAUAUUAUGGAUGCCAUGACAGUAGUGUUCAGGAGAUACAUUUGGCCACUGGAACUAUCAGUAAUAUACAAAGUGUUCUAAAAGAUUAA